UUAAGCGACUAAGCGUACACGGUGGAUGCCCUGGCAGUCAGAGGCGAUGAAGGACGUGCUAAUCUGCGAUAAGCGCCGGUAAGGUGAUAUGAACCGUUAUAACCGGCGAUUUCCGAAUGGGGAAACCCAGUGUGACUCGUCACACUAUCAUUAACUGAAUCCAUAGGUUAAUGAGGCGAACCGGGGGAACUGAAACAUCUAAGUACCCCGAGGAAAAGAAAUCAACCGAGAUUCCCCCAGUAGCGGCGAGCGAACGGGGAGGAGCCCAGAGCCUGAAUCAGCAUGUGUGUUAGUGGAAGCGUCUGGAAAGGCGCGCGAUACAGGGUGACAGCCCCGUACACAAAAGCGCAUGUGCUGUGAGCUCGAUGAGUAGGGCGGGACACGUGGUAUCCUGUCUGAAUAUGGGGGGACCAUCCUCCAAGGCUAAAUACUCCUGACUGACCGAUAGUGAACCAGUACCGUGAGGGAAAGGCGAAAAGAACCCCGGCGAGGGGAGUGAAAAAGAACCUGAAACCGUGUACGUACAAGCAGUGGGAGCACAGGUUUACCUGUGUGACUGCGUACCUUUUGUAUAAUGGGUCAGCGACUUAUAUUCUGUAGCAAGGUUAACCGAAUAGGGGAGCCGGAGGGAAACCGAGUCUUAAUUGGGCGUUAAGUUGCAGGGUAUAGACCCGAAACCCGGUGAUCUAGCCAUGGGCAGGUUGAAGGUUGGGUAACACUAACUGGAGGACCGAACCGACUAAUGUUGAAAAAUUAGCGGAUGACCUGUGGCUGGGGGUGAAAGGCCAAUCAAACCGGGAGAUAGCUGGUUCUCCCCGAAAGCUAUUUAGGUAGCGCCUCGUGAAUUCAUCUCCGGGGGUAGAGCACUGUUUCGGCUAGGGGGCCAUCCCGGCUUACCAACCCGAUGCAAACUGCGAAUACCGGAGAAUGUUAUCACGGGAGACACACGGCGGGUGCUAACGUCCGUCGUGAAGAGGGAAACAACCCAGACCGCCAGCUAAGGUCCCAAAGUCAUGGUUAAGUGGGAAACGAUGUGGGAAGGCCCAGACAGCCAGGAUGUUGGCUUAGAAGCAGCCAUCAUUUAAAGAAAGCGUAAUAGCUCACUGGUCGAGUCGGCCUGCGCGGAAGAUGUAACGGGGCUAAACCAUGCACCGAAGCUGCGGCAGCGACACUGUGUGUUGUUGGGUAGGGGAGCGUUCUGUAAGCCUGCGAAGGUGGCCUGUGAGGGUUGCUGGAGGUAUCAGAAGUGCGAAUGCUGACAUAAGUAACGAUAAAGCGGGUGAAAAGCCCGCUCGCCGGAAGACCAAGGGUUCCUGUCCAACGUUAAUCGGGGCAGGGUGAGUCGACCCCUAAGGCGAGGCCGAAAGGCGUAGUCGAUGGGAAACGGGUUAAUAUUCCCGUACUUGGUGUUACUGCGAAGGGGGGACGGAGAAGGCUAUGUUGGCCGGGCGACGGUUGUCCCGGUUUAAGCGUGUAGGUGUGUGUUCCAGGUAAAUCCGGUUCACUUUAACACUGAGGCGUGACGACGAGGCACUACGGUGCUGAAGCAACAAAUGCCCUGCUUCCAGGAAAAGCCUCUAAGCAUCAGGUAACAUCAAAUCGUACCCCAAACCGACACAGGUGGUCAGGUAGAGAAUACCAAGGCGCUUGAGAGAACUCGGGUGAAGGAACUAGGCAAAAUGGUGCCGUAACUUCGGGAGAAGGCACGCUGACACGUAGGUGAAGUGAUUUACUCAUGGAGCUGAAGUCAGUCGAAGAUACCAGCUGGCUGCAACUGUUUAUUAAAAACACAGCACUGUGCAAACACGAAAGUGGACGUAUACGGUGUGACGCCUGCCCGGUGCCGGAAGGUUAAUUGAUGGGGUCAGCGCAAGCGAAGCUCCUGAUCGAAGCCCCGGUAAACGGCGGCCGUAACUAUAACGGUCCUAAGGUAGCGAAAUUCCUUGUCGGGUAAGUUCCGACCUGCACGAAUGGCGUAAUGAUGGCCAGGCUGUCUCCACCCGAGACUCAGUGAAAUUGAACUCGCUGUGAAGAUGCAGUGUACCCGCGGCAAGACGGAAAGACCCCGUGAACCUUUACUAUAGCUUGACACUGAACAUUGAGCCUUGAUGUGUAGGAUAGGUGGGAGGCUUUGAAGUGUGGACGCCAGUCUGCAUGGAGCCGACCUUGAAAUACCACCCUUUAAUGUUUGAUGUUCUAACGUGGACCCGUAAUCCGGGUUGCGGACAGUGUCUGGUGGGUAGUUUGACUGGGGCGGUCUCCUCCUAAAGAGUAACGGAGGAGCACGAAGGUUGGCUAAUCCUGGUCGGACAUCAGGAGGUUAGUGCAAUGGCAUAAGCCAGCUUGACUGCGAGCGUGACGGCGCGAGCAGGUGCGAAAGCAGGUCAUAGUGAUCCGGUGGUUCUGAAUGGAAGGGCCAUCGCUCAACGGAUAAAAGGUACUCCGGGGAUAACAGGCUGAUACCGCCCAAGAGUUCAUAUCGACGGCGGUGUUUGGCACCUCGAUGUCGGCUCAUCACAUCCUGGGGCUGAAGUAGGUCCCAAGGGUAUGGCUGUUCGCCAUUUAAAGUGGUACGCGAGCUGGGUUUAGAACGUCGUGAGACAGUUCGGUCCCUAUCUGCCGUGGGCGCUGGAGAACUGAGGGGGGCUGCUCCUAGUACGAGAGGACCGGAGUGGACGCAUCACUGGUGUUCGGGUUGUCAUGCCAAUGGCACUGCCCGGUAGCUAAAUGCGGAAGAGAUAAGUGCUGAAAGCAUCUAAGCACGAAACUUGCCCCGAGAUGAGUUCUCCCUGAGACUUAGAGUCUCCUGAAGGAACGUUGAAGACGACGACGUUGAUAGGCCGGGUGUGUAAGCGCAGCGAUGCGUUGAGCUAACCGGUACUAAUGAACCGUGAGGCUUAACCUU
rnacentral:rRNA from 1 species